rnacentral:rRNA from 1 species
GAGCGGCGGACGGGUGAGUAACACGUGGGCAACCUGCCCUGAAGCGGGGGAUAACAUUUGGAAACAGGUGCUAAUACCGCAUAACAACGAAAACCACAUGGUUUUCGUUUCAAAGAUGGUUUCGGCUAUCACUUCAGGAUGGGCCCGCGGUGCAUUAGCUUGUUGGUAGGGUAACGGCCUACCAAGGCAAUGAUGCAUAGCCGAGUUGAGAGACUGAUCGGCCACAAUGGAACUGAGACACGGUCCAUACUCCUACGGGAGGCAGCAGUAGGGAAUCUUCCACAAUGGGCGCAAGCCUGAUGGAGCGACACCGCGUGAGUGAAGAAGGGUUUCGGCUCGUAAAGCUCUGUUGUUGAAGAAGAACGUGCGUGAGAGUAACUGUUCACGCAGUGACGGUAUUCAACCAGAAAGUCACGGCUAACUACGUGCCAGCAGCCGCGGUAAUACGUAGGUGGCAAGCGUUAUCCGGAUUUAUUGGGCGUAAAGCGAGCGCAGGCGGUUGCUUAAGUCUGAUGUGAAAGCCUUCGGCUUAACCGAAGAAGUGCAUCGGAAACUGAGCGACUUGAGUGCAUAAGAGGACAGUGGAACU